rnacentral:rRNA from 1 species
GGAAUUUUCGUCAAUGGGCGCAAGCCUGAACGAGCAACGCCGCGUGGAGGAUGACGGCCUUCGGGUUGUAAACUCCUUUUCUGGGGGACGAUGAUGACGGUACCCUGGGAAUAAGGCUCGGCUAACUCUGUGCCAGCAGCCGCGGUAAUACAGAGGAGCCAAGCGUUGUCCGGAUUGACUGGGCGUAAAGCGCACGCAGGCGGUUUGGCGCGUGGGGUGUGAAAUCUGGCCGCUUAACGGCCAGGCGCCAUCCCAUACGGCCGGACUGGAGGGCUGCAGAGGUCGAUGGAAUUGCCGGUGUAGUGGUGAAAUGCGUAGAGAUCGGCAGGAACACCCAGGGGGAAACCAGUCGACUGGGCAGCACCUGACGCUGAGGUGCGAGAGCGUGGGGAGCGAA